AGUGUACCUAUGUUGUCUGGUGUGCAUUACAAUAGACGCUGAAUUAGUAAGCUAGAUUAAAGGGUGAAAAGCGGCAUAUCAACAAUCCGAGGUGUAAGGGGCGCGGCUCGUUUUCUUUAACAUCGUUCUCUCCUCUAUCCCAGCAUGGGCCUCCUCUCAGCGAGGGCACAGCCGGUCUCAUCAGUGCCACGGUCAUUACCAUGUCGUCCUUGAAUGCUGCCAGAACUUGUGUUGAGGCUCCAAGUUUGUCUCUGAUCCUAAAUUACAAGUUGAAGGAUAUAUUGAUUCUAAAACUUUCUCCUCCGGGCAGAAGAAGAAGAAGAAGAAGAAGAAGAAGAUGAAGAAGAAGAAGAAGAAGAAGAAAGAGAAACAAAUAUAUACUGUUCAAGUUCUUUUUAGCCCCAAAGCGCUUCACCCUUCGCCUCUUGUAUUGAUUUCGGAUUAAUAGUCUGUUUUUAUACCAAGUGCCUGACCUUAACAAACCUACUCCUUACUUCUUCUUGGAGUAUGAUUCACGCUGCAACCUGUAACACGUGAUCCCUCCUGGUUAUAUUUGUCUUCCUUCGCGUUCAUCCUUAUGCCAUUGACUUUCUUUGAAUAGACUCCCAAUUACGUGUUGCAUCUUGCCUUCCAGCUGGUAAUACUGUGCUGUCGGCGGCAUGUCUGAGGUCGCUGUGAUGUUUUCUGUUUUGCUCGAGGAAAGAGUGGCAAAUAAACUGAUAGAAAUGU